rnacentral:lncRNA from 1 species
GGUUGGGAGGCGGGCACAUGGCUCAAGGAGAGCCAAUCACUGUCAACGUAUGUCAGAUCUGAAAUUUUGCUGGCGCUACGGUGGGAAACGACUCCUUCCGCCAGGGUAGCUCAGCUGGUGGAAGCACGUAAGUGAAGCUGCUGAGGGCUGUGUUUGCCACCAAGAGCGGCUAGCCUGCCUGAAGAUGAAGCCAACCCAGGGAAGUGUAGCUCAGAAGUGGUAAGAGAUGGAUUCUUGGCAGUAUUCCGUGAGCCAGCUAUGCCUGAGGCCCCAAGGCUUCUCUGGCACGUAACCCGAAUGCCCAGGUAGUGAGAAACUACUGCCAUGGAUCCUCCCAGGAUUUGCUAGAGGAAGCGUGCUAACUGCCUGAGCACCUGACCAGCCAUCUCCGCCUGCUCCCGUCUCUACAUCUGGUCAGUUCAGAGGGUCCAGGUAACAUGGCCCCGUUCAGCCUUUCCUGGAGAGGACAGGGCUUCAAGGCCCAGCUGAAAUGUCACCCCCUCGGUGAGGAAGCCCCCCUGUGCGCCCAUGGGCUCCAGGUACCCUGCACAGCCCCUGGACACCGGGACACCGUGCCACACUUCCAGCAAGCAUGUCACACGACACAACUGUUCCAGUGGACCCUGCAUGAAUUCACCCAGGUUGAUGAGGCCCCGGUGUUUGCUGGAGAGAGCUCUGGGGAGGCUGCAGGUGCAGAGUGGGCCACUCACCUGGCAAAUGAGCCAACCGUGGCCAGGGGAACCUGCAGGGCCCUUCAGACGCUUUUAUGCCAAAAGCUGGGCACAGGAAAUACCUCACGGGCAUGCGGUUGGAAGCCCAAAAGGAGGCACCCUCCACGAGAUGGCCAGGUGGCCCGUGCACACCGGGACGGAUACGCAGCUAGCAGCAGCCUUUGGUGCUUGACAGGAGGUCCUGGGGGAGAGAGGCAGAGACCGAGGUAAGAAACAGGGAGACAGACAGAGAUAAAGGA